rnacentral:rRNA from 1 species
UACGGAGGGUGCAAGCGUUAUCCGGAAUCAUUGGGUUUAAAGGGUCCGCAGGCGGGAAGAUAAGUCAGUGGUGAAAUCUCACAGCUCAACUGUGAAACUGCCAUUGAUACUGUCUUUCUUGAAUUCGAUCGAAGUGGGCGGAAUGUGACAUGUAGCGGUGAAAUGCUUAGAUAUGUCACAGAACACCGAUAGCGAAGGCAGCUCACUAGGUCUGGAUUGACGCUCAGGGACGAAAGCGUGGGGAGCAAACAGGA